UACGAAGGGGGCUAGCGUUGUUCGGAAUCACUGGGCGUAAAGGGCGCGUAGGCGGCUUUUUCAAGUCGGGGGGUGAAAAGCCUGUGGCUCAACCACAGAAUUGCCUUCGAUACUGUUAGGCUUGAGACCGGAAGAGGUGAGUGGAACUGCGAGUGUAGAGGUGAAAUUCGUAGAUAUUCGCAAGAACACCAGUGGCGAAGGCGGACUCACUGGUCCGGUUCUGACGCUGAGGCGCGAAAGCGUGGGGAGCAAACAGG
rnacentral:rRNA from 1 species